rnacentral:RNase_P_RNA from 1 species
UAAGUAGAUUGCCUUAUCGCUACUAUUUUAUAGUAGAGGAAAGUCCGAACACCGUAGUGCAUUAUAGUGGUUAAUGGCCACCAGUUGUGAAACUAGGAAAAGUGCAACAGAAAGUAUGUACAGGUAAUGCUGUAGUGAAAUCAGGUAAACUCUAUAUGGUGCAAUGUCAUGUAUACCAGCGUCCCGAUAGCAAUCGGGAAAGGGUUGCACGCCCAAUGUUGGAGGGUAGACAGCUAAAGUGUAUUGGCAACAAUGCAUUGAGAUAAAUGAUAGGGUAUUUUUGUUCUUCUUUCAGGGAAUCCUGAAACAAGUUCAGGAUGAACAGAAUUCGGCUUAUAGAUUUACUUAGAAA